AGUGAACGCUGGCGGUAGGCCUAACACAUGCAAGUCGAACGGCAGCACAGUAAGAGCUUGCUCUUACGGGUGGCGAGUGGCGGACGGGUGAGGAAUCCAUCGGAAUCUCCUUUUUCGUGGGGGAUCACGUAGGGAAACUUACGCUAAUACCGCAUCCUCCCUACGGGUGAAAGCAGGGGAUCUUCGGACCUUGCGCGAUUGAAUGAGCCGAUGUCGGAUUAGCUAGUUGGCGGGGUAAAGGCCCACCAAGGCGACGAUCCGUAGCUGGUCUGAGAGGAUGAUCAGCCACACUGGAACUGAGACACGGUCCAGACUCCUACGGGAGGCAGCAGUGGGGAAUAUUGGACAAUGGGCGCAAGCCUGAUCCAGCCAUACCGCGUGGGUGAAGAAGGCCUUCGGGUUGUAAAGCCCUUUUGUUGGGAAAGAAAAGCAGCAGGUUAAUACCCCGCUGUUCUGACGGUACCCAAAGAAUAAGCACCGGCUAACUUCGU
rnacentral:rRNA from 1 species